AUCGUGAAAGUUUAUAUUUAUUCACAGUUAUCAAAUUUGGUGGGAGAAAACAUAGCCCAAUAAAAAUCAAUUUUUAUGAACACUUAUAUUUUCCCAAACAUAAUACCAAUUUUUUUUACGAUUGACACUUUCACGCUUUAGAAUAUUUGGUCAGAAUUUUAAAAUGAUUCUUUAGAAAAGUAUUUUAUCUUUGAAUAAAUUCCGGGAUAAAAUUCCGUCUCUAAAACCAUCAAUCUUGUUAAAAUAGUCGUUAAGAUAAUAUAAGGGUACAAAAUUUACACUUUUGUAUAACAAUCAUGAUCUUUCUUAUGCUUUUUAUAUCUAUCUUAAUGGUUAUAUUGUUCAAGCUUUAAACUGAUCUUGUCUGAGAGUGGUUUUUAAUGAGAGGAUUAACUAUACAACAAUAAAAUUGUUCGUGAAUAUACAUGUUGAGUCAGUGAAUCAACAUUUGUGUACAACACUAUGCUUUGAUGGUUUAAACAGGUACGUUUCAAAAUUACACCUGUACACGACUUUUGGCAACAAUACAAGAACGAUUAUCAACAGUAAAUGUUGACUGAUUAUUUUAUUGGUAGAAAAUUUAACCAAUUAAAACUUGAGAAGUGCAUCUUUUUUCAUGUGUGUAAGUCUGAUAAAUUAGUAAUUAGAAUUUUGCAAUACUAAAUGGAACUUUUUAUAGGCGAUCGUGUAAACUAAACACAAAAAAAGGAUAUGAAUAUAAUAUAUGCAUUAAGGACUAUAUGACAAGCUUCUUUUUUCAAUUUAAUACUGAUAAUAAAAUUUCCUCAUUUACAGUAAAUAAAUAUAUUUUGGUUGUAGUUUAAAUCAUUUUAGUUAUAAGAUGUUUUGUGAAAUGGGUUGCUUAAAUUUUGUAAGAUGAAUUUACCAAUGGAAAUGAAAUCCUAAGGUACUAUGAUAGUAUUAAUUUUUAUGUCUCAUUAUGUAAACUGGUGAAUUAUUUGAAUUAACAAUGCCAAAGUAAAAAAUGGGUGUGUUACUUUUUAAGAAGUGAGCUUGUCAUUUCUGUCUCUAAACAACAUAUGUUUAAGACACAUUUUCUGGGUAAAAAAGAUUUAACAUCCCAAACCAAAGACACCUUCAUAUAGUUGUUGCUUUAAUUUAGAUAGUUUUAUAUACAUAUAUGAUGCUGAAAGUGGUACAUAAAAAUUCCAUUUAAGGUGGUACCUAACACCUGAACUAAAAUUAAUUUGGCUCGUUUAAUUUUCUUACACUUAAGGUGGUAUGGGAGUCUAAAAUAAAAAUGAUAGAAUUUGUUCAUACUUUGCCAAAACGUUGUAUCUAUUGAUACAUGUUGAAAAAUAUAAUAGAAAUGAUAGGUCACCGCGCAUUUUCUCAAGCUACAGGACGGGACAAAAUGACACAUUUUGUAUGGAUUAUACAGGAAAAAACACCAUUUUGUGAUUAGAAACUAAACAAAAUAAUAGAAUUGUUAAAUACUUCAGGAAAAGAUAGCUUUCAGACACUGCUUUGAGAAUAUCAAAAGAAAAGAUAGGGUCACCGUACGUUUUUUC
rnacentral:lncRNA from 1 species